GCCUCGGUGGCUUUGAGGCAAAGCGCCGGUUUACGGAUCCUCAGAUGGCGGGUUCGAAUCCCGGCCGAGAUG
rnacentral:tRNA from 1 species